rnacentral:rRNA from 1 species
GAUGAACGCUGGCGGCGUGCUUAACACAUGCAAGUCGAACGAAGCAUUUGCGACAGAUUUUUUCGGAAUGAAGUUGCUUAUGACUGAGUGGCGGACGGGUGAGUAACGCGUGGGUAACCUGCCUUGUACUGGGGGAUAGCAGCUGGAAACGGCUGGUAAUACCGCAUAAGCGCACAAUGUUGCAUGACAUGGUGUGAAAAACUCCGGUGGUAUAAGAUGGACCCGCGUCUGAUUAGCUAGUUGGUGAGAUAACAGCCCACCAAGGCGACGAUCAGUAGCCGAGCUGAGAGGGUGACCGGCCACAUUGGGACUGAGACCCGGCCCAGAACCCGACGGGAGGCAGCAGUGGGGAAUAUUGCACAAUGGAGGAAACUCUGAUGCAGCGACGCCGCGUGAGUGAAGAAGUAAUUCGUUAUGUAAAGCUCUAUCAGCAGGGAAGAUAGUGACGGUACCUGACUAAGAAGCUCCGGCUAAAUACGUG